GCACAACAAAAUUAUCAGACAUUAGGGUUGUUUCUUAAGUAAUAUUACCCUAACAUUGCAAAUUGGAAGUACCCCCAAUAAAAAAAAAUGCUGCUAGGCCCUUUUGGUUUUAGAAACUAAUACCAAAAUUCAUACAGAAUUACACAUACAGUAGGAACUUCAUUUAAAAAAAGGAAAUGAUCCAGCUUUGCAAGAGGCCAGUCAAUAUACUACAGUACUGCCUUUGUGAGGAAGGCAUGCAUAUGGAAUGGAAUGGAGGACUGCAAGGGGCCCAGAAGCAAAACGGAUAAAUAGCAUCUGGUUUAUCUGGUAAAUAAGGCAGUAGGAUGACUAGGUAGACAUGCAGGAAAAAAAACGUACCUCCAUGAUGAUGACUUUUAAAUGAGCCAGACUGGAAGCUCUAGACAGUUAAUUAUUUUUUAUAACGUAGAAGGAAGCUUUUACUUUCUGUAAUGUAAUGUCUUGAAGCAAUAGAAAAGAUUCACAAAUUAGACUGUGAAGAUAAACAGUUUCUUUAUAUCCAAACUAUCACAAGCAAAAUCUAAAGACAAGUUGAAGAAAUUUACAGCUUAAUGGAGAUUAUGGACAGAUUUAUUCACCAUAUGAGCAGUAAGGAGACUUAGCAAUUCAAGACUGGAGAUAAACACUCACGCAAUGUUGUUGGAAAUAGAGAGUGGGUUCUGUAUCCUGCAAGUUGUCCUUUGACCUCCACAUAUGUGGUGUGGUAUGAGCCUUCAUGCAAAUACAAAUAAAUGUUAUACAUUU
rnacentral:lncRNA from 1 species